rnacentral:rRNA from 1 species
AUUGAACGCUGGCGGCAUGCUUUACACAUGCAAGUCGAACGGUAACAGGCCGCAAGGUGCUGACGAGUGGCGAACGGGUGAGUAAUGCAUCGGAACGUGCCCAGUCGUGGGGGAUAACGCAGCGAAAGCUGUGCUAAUACCGCAUACGAUCUGUGGAUGAAAGCGGGGGACCUUCGGGCCUCGCGCGAUUGGAGCGGCCGAUGUCAGAUUAGGUAGUUGGUGGGGUAAAGGCUCACCAAGCCGACGAUCUGUAGCUGGUCUGAGAGGACGACCAGCCACACUGGGCCUGAGACACGGCCCAGACUCCUACGGGAGGCAGCAGUGGGGAAUUUUGGACAAUGGGCGCAAGCCUGAUCCAGCAAUGCCGCGUGCAGGAAGAAGGCCUUCGGGUUGUAAACUGCUUUUGUCAGGGAAGAAAUCUUCUGGGAUAAUACCUCGGGAGGAUGACGGUACCUGAAGAAUAAGCACCGGCUAACUACGUGCCAGCAGCCGCCGUAAAAC